rnacentral:lncRNA from 1 species
UUUUCAUAUGGAAAGUUCUAAAAGGGCUAGCAUCGUAAGGCCUGAUAGAUAGAGAUAUGAGAGAAAAUCCUUGUCCUCGAGAAAAAGCUUCUCAAUGACCAACAUAUAUGCGGCAAAAAAUCACUUCAAGUGUCAAAAGUUGGCAUAAAUGGACACUUUUUUUUUUUUUUUGUUCGAAGCAUAAAUGGACACUUAAAGUACCAAAAGUUAUGAAUGUGACACUUAAGUGCUAAAAUCGGAGCAAAAUAGAUCACUUAAGCGCCAAUCCGGCUAAAAUACUGAUGUGCGCAAUUUCCGGCGAAGUAAGUGCAAAACGGCGUUAUUUUGCACGCUGAUGUGGCUAGACAAUAAAAAAACGACAUCGUUUUGAUGCUGAUAUGGUAACAAAUUAAUUAAUUAAAUUUAAAACUAAAUUUAUUUAAAAUAUUUAAAAAUAAAAAUACAAAUAUUACAAAAAGGGAGAUGGCGGAGGCGAGGGCUCAGCACUCAACUGCCUCCCUCCUCCUCCCUUUUUUUUGUAUUUUUAUUUUUAAAUGUUUUAAAUAAAUAUGUUUUAAAAUCUCAUUUAGUUAAUUUUUAUAUUCAUUUUUUAUCACGUCAAUAUCAAAACGACGUCGUUUUGCACUUACUUCACCGGAAAAUUGCCACGUUAGCAUUUUGGCCAAAUUUUUUCCAUGAAUUGGCACAUAAGUGAUCAAUUUUACUCCGAUUUGAGCACUUUGAGUAUUAUUUUCGUAACUUUUGACACUUAUGUGCCAAUUUUUGGCACUCUAGGGUUCGAGUGUCCAUAUAUGCUACUGCUUCUUUGUUUUGUCAAAUGAUGUGAGUGGUCUGUCGUGGUUGACUUAAUAAAGAACAUUCGUCCUCGAAAUGUUGUCCCUGCAUCAGCAACAAAAACAAUGGAGUCUUAUGCUGCUAAGUGAGGUCGGUCAUGAAUCCUAUUAUGACUUUGCACUUGAUCCUUUGUCGAUUCUCUUCCAAAUAUGGAUAUUACCCUACUUAUCCCACUGAGUUGGGUUGGCCAUAUCUUUCAUUGUCAUUUCCUUUCGCAUCUUUUUGGAGCUUCCCUUACCCCUUUUAAUGAAUGUAUACACCCAUUGGGCAUGCGGCCCAACGGUAAGGGAAUUGAGCGGGACGGAAACAUUUAGCUUCAAAUGUGGAGUUUGACUUUUGUACUUUGCGAAGAGGUCGAGUAAAAGUGUGAGAUAAGAUUUAUAAAAUAAAAUAAAAUAAAAUGAAUAUAGCCAAUCUUUAUUCACACAUCAUUUUCAGUGGGGCAUUUGAAGGCUUUCAUUCAACAUUACCAUUUCAUCUAAGAUGCAUUCUCUUAUCUCAAAACGCCUUCGAGAUGUCAUUGCUACUGUGGCUGUGAUGACAUAGUGAAAACAAUUUAUUAUCUUUAUUCAUGUAUUAUGAAUACCAUCCUAAUUGACAUAAAAAUAUGUCAUGCUUUCAUUUUUGAUUGACUUAUUCUACCACGUGUCAUUACUACGUUACCUAACCAAUAAUGACAUGACCGUCACAUAAAACAUCUUCUUCAUGUGUAUGGGAUGGGAAGAAGUAAUGAUAAUUGAUUCAAAUAAUCGAUAAAAAUGGAAUUGCGGAUAGUGUAGUGGGAAAUGAGGUUCGGUUUAAAUUUGAUAACUACAAUAAUCGUUAUCAAACUCUUUCAAUAAGUAAAAGGAUAAUUAGGAGAGGAAAAAGCCAUCGAAACUAUCAUAAAAUAGAGAAUGACAUCCCACAAUAGGGGUUAAGUAUGUGUUUGAUUCAGCGCUUUGCAAAAACAUCCCAAAAGUCACUUAAACCAAACCUUAUUUGCUCAAAGCAAAUAAUGGGACUUUGCGUCUCAAAGACUGUUGGGGACUCUCAAAACUCUUCUGAAAUCACCCUAAAAACCCCGUUACUAUAAUGUCAUCAUUGGCCUAGUAUCUUCCUAGUCAGAAUGACUAUAUUUUUGUUACGGGAGGGGCUCCUUAAACCGUAUCUUUUGAUUAGUGGGAAAUAAACAUGAGUCGUAUUCAUGAUUUGGGAUCCAAUUUAAUUUAAUUGGUUGGACAAAAUUUUAUUUAAUCAAUAAUAGAAACAGAGUUCGUUUUAUCGUCCCGUGAGGCGAGUUUGAGUUUUCUUUGUUUUCUUACCGAAAGGAUCCUGACGAGGCCCAGUCCGAGGUUUCCAGAUGGACCGACCAGAUUCGCCUUUUCACUCGAACGUUCGUCUGUCGAACCUCGAAAGACCGCGAAUGUACUAGAAUGCUCCUCCGUUCCCUAUUUAGCAACCGAACGCAUCCUCUUCCAGACCACAUCGUCUGACGAUUGCAAUUCCUGUCCUAGUCCAAGCAUUCUGUCAAACACUUCUUAGUUAUUCGCUGGUAAUUCCACAACCAUGUCGCUCAUCCCAAGCUGGUUCGGUGGCCGUCGCAGCAACGUCUUGGACCCUUUCUCCCUCGACCUCUGGGACCCCUUCAAGGACUUCCCUUUCCCUUCCUCAGCCCUCUCCGCCUCUAAUUUCCCCCAGACGUUCGGGGAGAACACUGCCUUCGUGAACACGAGAAUCGACUGGAAGGAGACCCCGGAAGCCCACGUGUUCAAGGUGGAUCUCCCCGGGCUCAAGAAGGAGGAAGUCAAGGUGGAGAUUGAGGACGAUCGAGUGCUCCAGAUAAGCGGCGAGAGGAACGUGGAGAAGGAGGACAAGAACGACACGUGGCACCGGGUGGAGAGAAGCAGCGGGAAGUUCAUGAGGAGGUUCAGGGUGCCGGAGAACGCGAGGAUGGAUCAGGUGAAGGCGUCGAUGGAGAACGGGGUGCUCACCGUCAGUGUUCCCAAGGUGGAGGAGAAGAAGCCUGAGGUCAAGGCCAUCGAGAUCUCUGGUUGAGAGUGACGAUUCUACAUAGAGGAGCGUCUGUGUGUAUGCUGUGUUACUAUGCGGGUUUCGUGUGUCCUGAGUUGGGAGGCUCGGUCCCCUGGUUUCUGAUAUGGCUAUAUAUAUUUUCCUACUACGACUCUUCAAUUGUAAUGAAAUUCGAGUUGUCAUUUCCUAACUUCUGUUUGAUGUUAUCUUGGUUCCUCAACAGUCUUUCGAUUAUGUUUUGUUCGUGGGAUGCCGCUUAUUUUGUUUCGCAUACUGCUUCGGCGGAUGGGGAGUUUAAUUAGUUUCACUCUUGUCGGAUUAAUUCAAAUUCUGGGAAGGAUCCAUCAGAAGUGCAAGUGCCACACUUUGCACAUUGGCAUCGUUUUUUCAAUUGGGUUUGGAGGUACCUGGAAUAUAGAGAAGCUGAUAACUUUGGGAUUACAACAGGGUAGAAACCAUGUUACUCCUUUUGAGCUCAGCCCAAGGUGCAGGGUUGGGUUCCUUCUGCUGCAUUCGAUCACAUUUGUCAAAUAACAGGAUAAAAUAUCUCGAUUAGCCUUUUAUUUCUAGUGAUCAUCAUCAGAUCAGAGAGAGAUGAUCAAAUUCACUAGUUCCUCUAUUGCGGUGUGCGAAGAACCACCUUUUCUGAUGCUCAACUUGAUUUGGUCUUUGAGAGCCGCAGCUCUCAGCCUCAUCUCUUUCCCUUCCUCACCAACCAUCAGCCUCCUCACAGCUUGCUCUAUCUCUUUCUGGUCUAGAUCACCCUCCAACUCCAAUCCCACCCUCCAAACGUGGCACAGGUACCUCGCGUUCACAUUCUGGUCGAACAAGCACGGUUGGCAUAUCAUCGGGACUCCUUCGGAAAUGCUUUCCAAGGUCGAGUUCCAUCCACAAUGGGUCCAAAAGCCUCCCACGGCACGGUGUGCUAAAACAUCCUUCUGCGGAGCCCAUCUUAUGACACAGCCUGUUUCUUGGAUGGCUUCUUCGAACCCUUCUGGCGACAGCUCGAUCCACUCUGAGCCUCUGACUGAGCCAGGUCGGACCACCCACAAAAAUGGCUGGCCGCUGUUCGCCAGCCCCCAAGCUGUCUCUGCAAACUCUCUUUCAUCCAUCGAAGCCAAGCUUCCUAAGCUCACAUAUAUGACCGAAUCAUUAGCUUGCUUAUCAAGCCACAACAGGCAAUCGGUUUCUUCCUCCAAUAUGCUGGUUGGUAAACUUGGAGCAACUUUGUGCAACGGCCCUAGUGAGAAAAAUGGCACAUGGUAUUGUUUCUGGACUUGGUCUGAUAACUGUUCCUCCAGGCAGUCCACUGUGUUCCAAAGAAUGGCUGAAGAUGUCUUUAUAUCGAGUGCCGUAGCUAUUACCUGCACCAUUGGUUCUGGAUCGCUUGUAAAAAGAGGCAAGUCCUUGCAUCUCAAGGGAUAAGCGCCUGGAACUGGAUCUUUCGACGAACGAUCUGUAAAGUCAUAAAAACUGCUGCUUGGCAUGUAUUGCUUAUACGAUUUCAUAGUCUGAUAAAAACAUAAAAACUAGUCCGAGAUUUGAAUAUUCCAGCAAGAUAAAAAAGCGGUGGUCCUUUUUUUCCUAUUUUGUAUUUAGUGGACAUUCUUUCUUCCUCCCUAGUCAGAUUGCUCUGCAUUAAGGCCAGAAUAUGAUCUUUCACAAGCAGUUUCAGCAUGUGUGGUGCUGUUGACUUCAUUUCCAUGCUGUCUACUCUGAUUAAAGAGGUAAUAGGUGGUUUGGACAGCUGGGCUAACAUCUAGUGAGUGUUUCGUCUUCUGGAAACCGAGUCGCUGUGAAGACCUAGUAUGCUUACCUCCUCUUUGCAGCAAGUGCUUUUUACGAAGACACAAAGGUACCCUGUUAAAGUACUACUUUGUCGAAGAAAAAGAAAAUUACGAGCCGAACUCAAAAUGUGUCAACAUGGACUAAUGGUGCGAUCUGUCAAGGGAAAAUUAUAUUUGAACCACAUUGAUUAGUUCACUCUCUAUUUAGCUUGGCUAAACAAUCUCUUCGAAUUUUGAAGAGACCCUAAAUUUUGCUGUCGCAUUUCUUUGUGAUACAAACACAAUCAAAUCAGAAGCCCUUCCAGUUUAUCGGAGUUCCACCAAAGAAAGUGCAUUCUUAACAUCCAAUUGAUGCCGCAUGCUUGUUACUCUUGAUUUCUAGUGAAAUUACUGUCAAACUACAUCACAGAGGUGACUAGAAGGUUAUUGCGCAUACUGAUAUCUGAUAGUUUAUUGUCUGUUACUAUAUGAGGAUUGAACAUACCUUUCGGGGGAAAAUAACCUUCCUUUUGGAGCCGAGGCAAUUCAGAGAAAAUCAGCUGUGUGCCGAUACUACUAGUGCGCAAAGCCAUGCUAGGAAGUUUCACAUAAUAAGCUGCGGCUUCUGCACAAUACAUCAGCGAAUCAUAAAUCACGCAAGAGAUUUUACUCUCGGUUGCUCCAUCCUGUGCCAUCAUAUCUGACAAUACUUGGCGGAGAGGUCCUUCACAGUUGGUGUUGAGAUUUGCUGUAAUAGCUGCAGCAUCCCCCGAGGAGAGGACAUCCUUCGGUAAGAAGUCGGGAAUAGAAGCAAAGGUAAAAUUGGGGAAACCAGAUGGAUGGGGAUGACUGAAGUGUGUGUGAGCUAUUACAAUAGAGAAGCCCUUGGAAUGCAGGAGGGAUCCCAAAUUGAGCAUCGGGGUUAUGUGUCCUUGAGGGGGGCAGGGGACUAGCACCAAUCUACGAUUGCUUCUCUGCCCUCGUUCCUCCAUUUCUCUCAUGUGAUUACAACCAGAGCCUCUUUCCUGGAUGAACUCGUCAAAUGAAUGGUCUUAUAUUCAAUACUGGGUCGUUGGCAAAAUGUUAAGGAAAACAAAGAGAAAUCCUCUCAUUAAUUUGUUUUUCUUGCCAGGAGAGAAAAAUAAAGAAGUGGUAAACAAAUUGGCUGUCGCACCAUGAGACAUGUGGAGGAUCACCUACCCCAGGACACCAGAAAUUUUGUUUCCUUUCACGUCUGGCUUUGUUUAAUCUCACGUGGGAAUAUUCUUUUUCUCCCGCAAGAUUUCUAGUUAAUUCGAUUCCAUCCCAAAACUUGCUCUUAUCUCUUUGCGGAUUCAAAUUAUUUUGCUGCUGAGGCGACUCCCCCUAUACGAUGGCAUUGAAGUCCACUGCUACUGACAUCACCAGAAGCUCCUUAUAUAUGAGAAAUGGGGUGGUUAUAACUUGUUUUGAACACUGGUGCUUGUAACCUUCUUGAAAAAGUCACCAUACGGAAGCAGUACCUGGUAUAUAUGAAUGUUUUGUAACUGAAACUCACAGCCUUAAGUAAGCUGACAGAGCUUGUCUUAGUCAAAGACAGCUAGAGACAGCAGGACUCAGAAGCAAAAGAGCUUCGAAGUCUGCAUCCUUUCAGACACCUUUCUAUUUCUUGAGACAAAAUCAAGUGUAUCAAAAAAAUAUACAGCUUCAAAAUUCAGCUGCUGCAAAAGUCAAACUGAUCUGGGGGGUUCUCAUGUUCUUUUUGGCAAUAUGAGAAGUGCCGAUGUUUUUUAAGUAGAAAGUUCAAAGUGAACUAGCAUCCGAAGGCCUGACAGACUGAGAUAUGAAAUCAGAUUUCUUAUCUGAAAGCUUCAUAAAGACCAAUAGUGCUCCUGCUUCUUCCUGCCGUCGAAUGACACGAGCAGUCUCAUUGGGAUUGACUUAAGAAUGAAUGUUCCUCCUGAGGAUGUUAUCUCUACAACGACAACAGGAGCAACCGAGCCUCGUCCCACUAACUAGGGACAGUAGGAAUUCUAUCAUGCUGCUGUGCUUGAUCUUUUUCUAGAUUUUCUAUGAGCUCUUCCACGUCUUUCUGGUAUUUCCCCUACUUUUAACUAAUACAUCCCAUCUUCAUUCAUAUCGCCUCGCCGGGGCACCUAAAGGCCUUUGUUCGACAUUACCUAAUGAUCUCAGACGGCCUUAUCGCAUCUGAAGGCCUUCAAGAUGUUAUGCUGAGAUCUAGUGGCCACACUUCUUUCAAUUGUAAAGCCAUGCACCUGGCAAAAUGGACAGACUAUUUGAGAUUUCCAUUGGUUGCAUAAUCUCAAGGAUCUAGAAAAACCUACUUUCUAUCAAAAUAGGUGGAGACUAAAUCACGUGUUCUCACACGGCCUUUUUAGUCUCUUUAGAAAGGUAAAACUAAAUAGUCACUCAACCUCCUCUUUACCACUAGUUAGGGAAGGCUGCAUGUUUCAAAUAACUGUUCAAAACAUCUAGAAUUCAGAGGAGUCCUAAGUUUUCUCUGCCAUUUCUUCAUUUUUUGGUGGGAAAAUGACAUAAAUCGUCCAUGAAUUUUGGUCUAAUGUGCAAUACCGUUCAUUAAUUUUUAAGUUGUUCUAUGUACCUGUUGAACUUUGAUCCAAUGUGGAAUGUCAUUCUUCAACUUUUAAUUUGUUAAAUAUGAUCUGGACUAUUGAUAGAUGUUCUAUUUAAUCUCCUAGAUUAUGUCAAAUUGACAUAAACGGAAUGACUAUAUUGAAUGUUUAUCAGUAGUUUAGGGAUUAUUAAAUAGAUUAAAAGCUUGAGGACGAUAUUGCAUAUUAAGUUCAAGGACUAUACUGUGCAAAUUAAAAGGUCAGAGAGGAUAUUGUAAUUGGAUCAAACUUUAUGGACUAUUUGAACUAUAAUCCCUUCUUUGGUUGAGAAACGAUAACAAAAAUAAGAUCCUAAACUUAAGACACUUUAUGGGAAAAGGGUAGUGGUAGAGACGUUUGUUUUAUUUUCAACAAUAACUUUCUCUUCUUCACAUUGUGAUGUAAGAAAGCUACUUCAGAUAAUAUAUGAUUUUAGGUCGUCUCACAUGGCGCAGUAUGAAUUGAUGCUUCACUGCAUUAUGCUCACAUAAAGAGCAUGCAUGUCACUGUAUUAUGCUCACAUAAAGAGCAUGCAUGUAAUUAUUGCACAAAUAAGGUCACAAAUACACAUGUUGAAUCGAUAUUUUUGGAUAGGAGGGCCAUAACCAUGAACAACGAUAUCUGGGAUUGAAUUCUCGAUGCUUUCUUGCUUUUGUCAUCAUAAGAGGAGCCGUGUUUUUUUUUUAAACGCUUAAGCGAUUAAAAAGGGGCCAACCGUGAGUAACGUAUGAUUUCGAUCAUUUCUAGGAUCAUUGAAGUUGAACAAAAACAUUCUGUAUAACACCUAUAUCACACGACAUAACGAUGAGAUGGCGCUCAACCAAAUCAAUUAUUUUCGAUUAUUAAAAUGAUCUUUAAAUGUGAAUGCGCGAUGGCAAAAAGGAACAGAAUUGACAGACAAAUAUGAGGAAGGGUAAGAGAAGGCGAGGUGGUUGAAAAUGUUACGCAGCGUCGAGAAAGAGCCAGAAGCCCAUAACCAGAACGCUCGCUCAGUCUUAAACCUCGUUUCGGAAAAAUCUCAUGAACGCGCGAGAAGACCUCCUCUUCUGCCCAUAAAUACCCAGCACGUCCCUUUCCUUCCAACAAGGACCCAGAAAGCAAGCAAAUUCCCAAGAAACUCCAAACCCGAGCAGAAAUCAAUCCCUCGCGUCCUGCAAAGUCAAGCUUCAUUCCACCGACAUAUUCAGAGACGAAGUCGCUCAUAGUUUAACUUCGGGAUUUGUUGCCGGAGGGAAUCUUUGCUUUACUUCUUGAUUUUGUUCGCUUGUCUUUUGUUUGGCUUCACUUCAGGAAUUAUUAGGGAUUUUCCUAGCCAGCAGUGUAUAUUUUAUACGCUAGUUCACGAGGACCAGCCAGGGAAGAGGAUUGACGUGAUAUUCCCUUUAAUUACUCAUCCAAAUAAAUUAUCUGAAUCAAGAUGCUGUGAACCAGGACAGCUGCCAAGAAGCACAGCCCCAGAGAGAGAGAGAGAGAUAGAGAGAGAGAGAGAGAGAGAGAGAUAUUCUCUAAAUAUUCAUUAAAUGCCGUGUCAAACUUGACCAUAGGGAGAGAGAGCGAGCUUCUCUAAUUAUUCAGCAAAUGCCGGGUCAAACUUGACCACAGUUACAUUCCUAGCUUGCGCAAAUUGAACGUUAGGACUGACCUGCUUGCUUGUCCUUCAUUGCUGGGUCUUCGCAUCCUCCGUCCCAUUACUUCUCAUCUGAUUAGACUUACAAAGAGAGUAAAACCACCCUGGAUCAGCAAAAGCCCGUCUUCAAGUGCAUAACUUCGCAUAGCAUCUGAAUAUCUUCGAUUGAAUAAAGGAUAGAGAGGAUGGAAAGUGAUGGGCAAAAUGGCAAGAAAUUGAUCCUGGUCCCAGGACCAUUCCAGGGCCACCUCACUCCCAUGCUUCAGCUGGCGACAAUCCUCAAGUCCAAGGGCUUCUCCAUCACAAUUGCUCACACACUUUUCAACAGUCCAGAUUCUUCUGCUCACCCCGAUUUCACCUUCUUAUGCAUGCCUGACGGCUUGUCUGAAGAAGAGGUUCGAAACCCCGAUCUGAUGGGCAUCAUGCUGAGGCUUAAUGUCAAUUGUGAGUCCAGCUUUAGGGAGUGCCUAACUUGGGGCACAAACCAUAUGGAGCCAGUUGACAAGAUUUGCUGCAUCAUCUACGAUGCAAUCAUGUACUUCUCGGAAGCUGUUGCCCAUGAUUUGAAGAUUCCUAGCAUUGCUUUACACACGAGCAGUGCUGCUACUACCAUAGUCCGCCCGAUUCUUCUCCAGUUAAAGGCACAAGGACACAUUCCGAUCCCAGGUACAUGCUGAAUUUCUCUUAUUUAAGUUACACUCAUUUCUUUCUUGAUUAAUAUUAUGGUUGCGGAGAAUCUUGCUCGUAUUCCAUUUUGUUUGUGGGGAUGGAUGUAUCUACAAAAAUUUAUUGCAGUUUUAAAAUCUGUAUGUGUGACCUUCAUCAUGGCCCUAUAGUCCAUGAUCCGACGAGUCUCCUCUAUGCCUAUACUUUUUUCAAGACUGGUUUCUUUGUCAUCAUCCAAGUUUGACACCCAAGCCAGAUUAUCCUGAAUGUUGUCAAACCGCCAAGUAUAAAGUCGAUGGGUUCUAGCUCACUUGUCAUUGUGCUGACUAACAAAUGCCUUGUGUUGUGCUCUAUUAGAUUCCAUGUUGCAGGCUCUGGUGCCUCUGCAUCAGCCCCUGAGGUUCAAAGACCUACCACUCUCCAAUUUUGGAAGUUUGGACUAUUUCUUGGAGUUGUUAGUCUUGGCGAGUAAUAUCAGAUCGUCUUCGGCCAUUAUAUUCAACACGAUUCACUGCCUUGAAGAGUCACCUCUGGCGCAGCUUCACCAACAGUACCAGGUUCCGAUUUUUCCAAUAGGUCCUCUGCACAAACUCGCUCCUACUUCAGCUGUUAGCUUACUGCAAGAGGAUACUGGUUGCAUUCCAUGGCUUGACAAGCAAACUCAUAAUUCAGUCAUUUAUGUGAGUUUAGGAAGUAUAGCACAUCUGGACCAAGACCAAUUGUCAGAAAUGGCUUGGGGUCUGGCAAAUAGCAAGCAGCCUUUCUUGUGGGUUAUUAGGCCUGGCUCAAUACCAGGUUCGGAAUGGAUCGAGUCAAUGGCUGAAGAAUUCAAAGAAUGUGUUAAGGACAGGGCUUGCAUUGUGAAAUGGGCACCUCAAAAAAAAGUACUGGCUCAUGAUUCGGUGGGAGGGUUUUGGAGCCACUGUGGAUGGAACUCCAUCUUGGAGAGUAUAGAUGAAGGCGUUCCGAUCAUAUGUCAACCAUGCUUCGGUGACCAAAAUGUGAAUGCGAGGUACUUGACUCUUGAAUGGAAGGUUGGAUUAGAACUGGAGGGGGAGAUAGAGAGAGGGACAGUAGAAAGAGCUGUUAGAACAUUGAUGAAGAAAAAGGAAGGUGAAGAGAUGAGGCAGAGGGUCUUGGAUUUGAAGCACAAGUGCGAUGUUAGUAUAGUUGAUGGUGGAUCUUCUUGCCAUUAUCUGAGCAAGCUAGUCGAGUUGUUGAGAUCGUUCUAGCAGCACAGAGUUGUUUGCUACUAAAGUACCGCGCGGAAUGAAGCUUGUGUAGUGCAGAAAGUGCAAAGAUUUGGUCUUCAGGCAUUGAAGAACAGAACGGAACAGAACAGAUGAUGCUUUGAUGGACUGACAGAAAUUUGCUGACUUGUCAUAUGCAAAUUUAAGUUGAUCCAAUCUCCUUUUUUUCUCUCAAACCAGUGGACCAGAUCUGAAUGGGUCGAAUUCACUUCUCCUUUCAAGUUUGAGUAAACUUAACAUGGUUAUUCAUUAUGUCACAAUUUUGAAACCUAAACAUGACAAGCUUAUAAAAUGAUAGGACACAUUUGACUUGUUUAAGAUACGAACCACUAGAACAACCAUGUCAAAUACGUACAGAUGUGUAAAAGUGUGUUCAAAUGUGCGUAAAUUUUCUUAAGUGCAUUGUCUCGUUGCAACUAACUUAUCAACUAUGUCAUCAAACUUGUCUAAACAUUUCAUAGAAAGGAUCAACCCAGGACAAAUACUAUCGUGUCCACUGCUUGAGAAUGCCCUCAUGGUGUUUUAGUGAGUUAAGAAGAAAAAGAUCAGUUACUAGAGGAAGACAGAAGCAAGGGAGGACCCGGCAAUCUUACCUGGCCUCAAGGUAGAUAAGAGACCAGGCAAAAGAAAGAAAAUAUAAUAGCAGUCUUGUACAAGCGACAUUGUUUCUUUUAUGACACAAACCUCUAUAAAGUUGACAUGAGCACACUCAAUGACAUGCCGAGUAAACGGGCUGUGUCGAUAUCUGCUCAACCUCAUUCGAGAUUGAUCAACAUGCCCUACUAUUAUGUCCGAUGAAUGUUCUUCCAGCCCAGUAAAAAUAUCCCAUAUUAACAACCUUAAUCUCUUGUCGAUCGGCAACUCUUUUUUAUCUGUUGCACUUUAAUUCAAUGUGAAAAAUGGAGAGCGCAAAGUGCUCGAGAGGGACCAUAAAUUCACUUUUCUUUAAAUUAUGAGGAGUAGCUUGAGAACGAGGAUAGACCGAUGAUUUUCCCGUUUUGACAAGCCAGUGCCAAUGAUUGGAUUCUUACUAUCUUGAUUUUAUUGUAUGGAAAUUUUCUGUGAGGCAAUUCUAUUGGUUGUUUAUUUGUGAAACAAACAAAAUAAUGUUUUAUCUUGUGCCACAUAGGAAAGUUAGAAGGACGUGGGCCACUAAAUAAAUAUGAAUGUCUUCUAAAUGAUUCAAAUGAAGACAAUGGCUUGUGGGCUAGAUCCCAUAAUCCUCUCCCCCCCCCCCCCCCACAAUGAACCCACAAGCGGUGCCAUAUGAAUAGGGCAUCUGAAGGCCUUUUAUCGACGUUACCAAACCACCUCAGACGGCCCUAUCUCAUCUCAGAAUGCCUUCGAGAAGUUAUCCUACAGUGGUGAAUGUAUUGCUGAGGUCUAGCGCUCUCUGUUUUCUAGCCAUAUACCAGGCAAAAUGGACAGACUAUAUGAGUUUAGCUUCUGCUGCAUAGUCUUAAGGAUUAAUCUUGUCUAGAUUACUGUGCAACCUCUAGCGUAGGGGGCUAAUAUCUUUUUGUUUUUUACUCUGUCCCCCUCAACUUUGUCAACGUAUCUAAAUCUGCCCUAGAUAACUGACUUUCUAUUAAAAUGGGUGAAAACUAACUUAGGUAGCGUCACACGAGUCUUUUCAGCUUUUUAGAAGGAUGAAAGUAAUUAGUCACUCAAUUUUAGCCUUUACCACUGGCAUGGAAGGUUACAUGUUUCAAACAAACUGAUCAUGUUUAGUUUAUAAUUUUACGUAGUUCUAUAUGCUCUACCAAUUUCCCCAUCCUUUGGCCAAGGAGAGAAUUGAAAUUGAAGAUUGCUGCAUGAUAUAUUAUGAAAGUUCGCCUCAUGUGGGGCCACAGAUUCGAUGCCUCAUAUUCAUUACGCUCACGUGAAUAGUAUGCAUGCAAGUAUUGAACGACAUAAGGUAAUAGACACACAGAGUUCUAUCAACAUUUUGACUUAAGCAGGCAAAAAUUCGAGCGUAUUAAACACGGAAUUUUUGGAUAGUAGAGCCAUACCAUGAACUAGGAAAAUCAAGAAUUGAAUCUUCGACCCCUUUUCACUCUUGUCACUAUUAAAGGAGUCCGUUUUCCCCAAUAACUUGACUAUCAUGAAAUAAAUCAAUAAUAUAUUUAUAACAUACGACUUAACCGUCAUUUUAAGUAACAUUGAAACUUAUGAAAAACUUUUUGUAUUACACCUACAUCACGCGACAUGUUGGUGAAUAAGCAACGACAAAAAGAAACAAAAUGGAAUCAUCGGCUGUGAUGGCUCUGCUGGAUAGGCUUUUGUGAUUCUUUGCGAGAGAGGUGAGGAGUUCGAAUCUCUUGCAAUGUAAGGAGGCUGGUGGAGUUACUUGGUGGUUUCCCAUGUUGUCCCCAUAUUUUUCUCGCCGGCUGUCGGCUUAUGGGGUUUUCUGGAUCAUAAAAAAAAAAAAACAAAAUGGAAACCCUCGAGUCCAUAAAUGAUAAACAUGUCGACAUAGUAAUCUGGUGAAACCGAAAGAGAAGUACGAGGAACGUGAAAAAGGAGACGAAAAGGCGAGUAGUUGGAAAUGACACACGUUAUGCCCAUGACCAAUGAGCAAGGCCCAGCGUCGAGAAAGAGCUAGAAGCCCAUAACCAGAACGUUGGCUCAGGCUCAAACCUCGUUCCAGAAAUCUCGGGAACGUACGAGAGGACCUCCUUUUGUCCCCGUAAAUACCCAACACGUCCCUCUCCUCCCGACAAGGAUUCAGCAAGAAAGCCAAUCACCAAGGAACUCCAAAACCGUGCAGAAAUCGAUCGGGCGUCCUCCAAAGUCAAGCUUCAGUCCCACCGACUUAUUCAGAGACCAUGUCGCUCAUUCCGAGCUGGUUCGGUGGCCGACGCAGCGACGCCCUCGACCCCUUCUCUCUCGACUUCUGGGACUCCAUCGAGGACUCCCCUUUCCCUUCGUCUUCCCUCCCCGCCUCUACUUUCCGGGAAAAUUCCGCCUUUGUCAACACCAGGAUCGACUGGCGGGAAACUCCCAAGGCCCACGUGUUCGAGGCCGAUCUUCCCGGGCUCAAGAAAGAGGAAGUGAAAGUCGAGAUCGAGGACGAUCGGGUGCUCCAGAUUAGUGGAGAGAGGAAGGUGGAGAAGGAGGACAAGAAUGACAAGUGGCAUCGAGUGGAGAGAAGCAGCGGGAAGUUCAUGAGGAGUUUCAGGCUGCCGGAGGAUGCGAAGAUGGAUCAGGUCAAGGCUUCGAUGGAGAACGGAGUGCUCACCGUCACUGUUCCCAAGGUGGAGGAGAAGAAGCCCGAGGUCAAGGCCAUUCAAAUUUCUGGUUAGAGUCUGGAAUAGUAACUUGCGAGUGCUAAUGUGAAUUCGAGGCUUCGUGUGUGCAGAGUCUGUGCGCUUCAUCUCUUUCUUGUGUUUUUGGAGAGUUGUAUGAACCGGGUGUUGUCUCUGAUACACUGAUGUAAUCUGAACUGGCAAUACUUUUCUGGAAAAAAAACUUUACGUUAAUGUUGCAAUUGCAGCUCCAUUUUAUCUGGUAAAUUUGAUUGCUCGAGUGGAUGUUUGCUUUACUCUUGAUCUUGCUUGCCUAUCUUUCAUUUGGCUUCAAAGCUUCAGGAAUUAUUUGGAUUUUUCCUAGCUAGCAGUUUGCGUAGUGUAUUAUCCACUUGUUCACGAGCACAAGCAAUACAGUGGGGACCAAAAAAGCUGCCAAUAAGAAGACAGAGAGAGAAAAACCAAGUGCUUCUUUAAAAAGUUCAAUUACUCCGAGCUUUCGCAAAUUAACUAUUUGGUGUGUCCUGUUUAUUUGUCCUCGAUUGUUGGGUCUCUUCUGCGUAGAUUUUCAAAGAGAGUAAAACUAGCCUGAAUCAGCAAAAGCCUGUGUGUGUGAGAGCUUAACUCUGCAUGGCAUUUCAUAUCUCUGAUUGGAAAAGAGAUGAAGAAGAUGGAAAAUCAAGGGCGAAAUGGUAAGAGAUUGGUCCUGGUCCCGGGACUAUUCCAGGGCCACCUCACUCCAUGCUUCAGCUGGCGAUAAUCCUCAAGUCCAAGGGCUUCUCCAUCACAGUUGCUCACAAUUUCAACAGUCCAGAUUCCUCUGUUUUCCCCUAUUUCACCUUCUUAUGCAUACCUGACGGCUUGCCUGAAGAGGAGGUUCAAAACCCUGAUCUGAUAGCCAUUAUGCUGAGGCUUAAUGUAACUGUGAGUCCAGCUUCAGGGAGUGCCUAACUAGGGGCACAAAUCAUAUGGAGCCGGGUGACAAGAUUUGCGGCAUCAUCUACAAUGCAGUAGUGUACUUCUCAGAAACCGUUGCCCACGAUUUGAAGAUUCCUAGCAUUGCUUCACACACGAGCAGUGCUGCUACUACCAUAGUCCGCUCGAUUCUUCUCCAGCUAAAGGCAUUCUGAUCCCAGGUACAUGUUGAAUUUCUCUUAUUUAAGUUACACUUAUUUCUUUGUUAAUUAAUAUUAUGGUCACGGAGAAUCUUGCUCAUAUUCCGUUUUGUUUAUGAGGAUGGAUGUAUUGCCGAUUUUUUUUUUGCAGUUUUAAAAUCUGUGUGUGACCCUCGGCAUGACCCUAUAGUUUAUGAUCCGAUGAGUCUCCUCUGUGCCUAUACCUUUUCUAAGAAUAGUUUCUCUGUCAUCAUCCAAGUUUGACACCUAUGCCAGAUUAUCCUGAGCACCGUCAAACCACUAAGUAUAUAAGCCGGUGGGUUCUAGCUCACUUGUCUCCGUGCUGACUAACAAAUGCCUUUUGAUGUGCUCUAUUAGAUUCCAUGUUGCAGGCUCCGGUGCCCCUGCGUCAGCUCCUCAGGUUCAAAGACCUACCACUCUCCAAUUUUGGAAGUUUGGACUAUUUCUUGGAGUUGGUAGUCUUGACCAGUGAUAUGAGGUCGUCUUUGGCCAUUAUAUUCAACACGAUUCACUGCCUUGAAGAGUCACCUCUGGCGCAGCUUUACCAACAGUACCAAGUUCCAAUUUUUCCAAUAGGCCCUCCACACAAACUCACUCCUACCUCAGCUGUUAGCUUACUGUAAAGAGGAUACUGAUUGCAUUCCAUGACUUGACGAGCAAACUCAUAAUUCAGUCAUCUAUGUGAGUCUGGGAAGCAUAGCACAUCAGAACCAAGACCAGUUGUAUGAAAUGGCUUGGGGUCUGGCAAAUAGCAGGGAGCCUUUCUUAUGGGUUAUUAGGCCUGGCUCAAUUCCAGGUUCGAAAUGGAUCUAGUCGAUGGAUGAAGAAUUCACAGAAUGUGUUAAGGACAGUGGAUGCAUUGUGAAAUGGGCACCUCGGAAGAAAGUACUGGCUCACGAGGCAGUGGGAGGGUUUUGGAGCCACUGUGGAUGGCACUCUACACUGGAAAGUAUAUGUGAAGGAGUUAUGAUGAUAUGUCAACCAUGCUUUGGCGCCCAAAAGGUGAAUGCGAGGUACUUAACUCAUGAAUGGAGGGUUGGAUUAGAACUGGAGGGGAAGAUAGAGAGAGGGACAGUAGAAAGAGCUGUUAGAACAAUGAUGAAGGAAAAGGAAGGUGAAGAGAUGCGGCAGAGGGUCUUGGAUUUGGAGCACAAGUGCGAUGUUAGUAUAGGUGAUGGGGGAUCUUCUUGCCAUUAUCUGAGCGAGCUAGUUGGGUUGUUGAGAUCAUUCUAGCAGCACAGAGUUGUUACUACUAAAGCACCGUAGGGAAUGAAAUUUGUGUAGUGCAGAAAGUGCAAAGAUUGUCUUCUCACAUUGAAGAACAGAACAAAACAGGUAAUGCUUUGAUGCACCGACAGGAAUUUGUUGGCUUGUCAUAUGCAAGAUUUGGUCUUCUGGCAUUGAAAAACAGAACAGAUAAUGCUUUGAUGCGCUGACAGAAAUUUGUUGGCUUGUCACAUGCAAGUUUGAGUUGAAUCAAUCUCUUUAUUUAUUUAUUUAUUUAUUUUUUAUCUCUAACCAGUAUACCUGAUCUGAAUGGGUCAAAUUCACUUCUCCUUUCGUAUAUAAAAAUGUUGAAUAAACUUGACAUGGUUAUUCAUUAUCUCACAAUUUUGAAACAAAAACUAUGGGACACUUAUAAUUUGAUGGGACAUAUUAGAUCUGUUUAAGAUAAGGACUAUUAAAACAAACUUGUCAAAUAUGUUUAGAUGUUUAAAGGUGUGCUCAAAUGUGCACAAAUAUUCUUAGUGUGUUGUGACUAACUUGUCAACAUCAAAUUUGUCUAAACAUUUUAUAGAGAGGAUCAAUCCAAAGAUGAUAGCAGUUGUGUACAAGCAUAUUGUUUCUUUGACGACACAAACCUGUGUAAGCUUGACAUGAUGACGUGCUGAGUAAAUGGGCUAUGUUGAUGUGUGCUCAGCCUCAUCUGAGAUUUUGAUUAACAUGCCCUAAUAUUAUGUCCGACGAAUGUUCUUCUAGUCUAGAAAAAAAAAAAAAAAAAAAAAACAAACGUCAGAAAAAAGUGGAAUACCUUUACGAAUGUCCUAUAUUGAUUAGGGGUGAGCGAUUCUGGGUUCCUUAGAGGUUCCGCCUAGAACCUAGAACCUAGAACUUACUAUCAGAUACAGAUUUCUCAUUUUUUGGAACCUAGAACCUAUCCUGUCACAGAUUUUAAGGUUGAUUUUAGGAUCCAACAUGUUUUUUUUUUUCAUUUUUAAUUAAACAAAGCGAAAAUGACGCAAUAAUAAUAAAUAAGCUUGUCAUUCAUCAAAGAGAAUACACAAAACUAUCAAUAGAAGAAAAUGAAUUCUUGGCAAGAAAUUCAACUAGAUAGAAGUAAGGAUGAAUGAAUCUAAGUUACAUACAAGUUUCACUUGAAACCUACCCGUUGGAACAUGCACCUCAUUUUUUUAGAACUAGAAACCUACCUUGCAUAUCCUAGAACUUGGAAUCUAUUCUGUCAUACGUUUCAAGGUUUACCUAGGUCCCACUUAUAUUAUUAUAUGAACGAUUACAAUUCACUAAUCAUAACUUAUAUUUAGAUAUAUGAAAAAUAUGAACAUUAAUAAAGUAAAAAUCUUAGCCACAAAAUGGAAAUUCGGAUUAGUGUUUUCAGAUUAUAUACUCAUUGUUGAAUAACAUAGAAUAUUGGAAGAUCGCAUGGAGAUAUGGAUCAAGAAAAAUAUUAAAACUUAUUUCAGGUUGUAGGUUACAGAUUUCAGGUUGUAAGUUCCGAGUUUCUCCAAUUAAGAACCUAGAAUCUACUCGUUGAAAUAGAUUUAUCAUUUUUUGGAUUUUGGAACCUAUUCUGCAUAUUUUGGAACUUGCAUACUUUAGAACCUAAAACCUAUAGGUUUUCAUCGGUCCUCACUCGUCCAGUUCUCAAAUUCCAGAUUCUAUCAUGAAACCAUGUUUACCCCUAAUAUUGACAACCUUGAUCUCUUGUCAUUUGGCAUUUUCAUUUCUCUGUCGCACUUUCAUUCAACGGUGAAAAAUGAAGAGUGCAUGCUGCUGGCGAGGGACCAUAAAUUCACUCCUCUUUUCCUUAAAGUUUAUGAAAGAAUAGCUUGAAAAUGAGGACUGACUGAUGAAUUUUCCUGUUUUGACAAGCCAAUGAUGGUAAAAUCGGACUCUUAGGCACUAUUUGGUAAUCAUCCAAACAAUGCCUGAUUUUGAUUUUUUGUUCCCAGAAUCGGUUUGGGAUGAGAAUCGCAUUUGGUAAUUUUUUUUUCUGGGAACAAAUUUGUUCCUGGGACGAGAAUCAAGAAUAAAAGAAAAGUUGAUUCUUAUUCUGGGAACAAAAUUGAGAAUCAAAACUCUUCUUCUUCUCUUUUCUUCUUCUUUAUCGAUCGCCAUCCCAUGACCGCCACCCGCCGCCGUCCACCACCGGUCGCUGCUGCCCAUUGCCAUCGGUCGCCGCUGCCCGCCGCCAGUCGCCAGCGAUCGGUUCGACAAGCUCACCAAGCUAAAGCGAGGUCUGGCGAGCUCGCCGGUGGCCAAGCGGGCCUUGCCCAACUACUGGCGAGGCCGAGCUGACGAGGGCCGGCGACCGGCUUGAAAAAGAAUUAGAAUAGGAGAAAAAAGAAAAAAAAAAAGGAAAAAAAAGGAAAAAAGAAAAGAAAAAAAAUGAAAAAAUGAAAAAAUUAUUUAAAAAUUAAAAUAAAUUGAUUUGGAACAGAAUCAAUGAACACGGUACCAAAUGCAAGUAUAUGUUAAAAUCAGAAAUUUUGUACAAUUACCAAACACGUUCUUUUACUCAGAAUUAGUAUCGGGAACAGAAUAAAUAAUAAUAAUUUUUGAUCGGAAUUUGUUUUUAGGAACAUAAUCAUUACCAAGCGCGCCCUUAUUAUCAUGAUUUUAUUGUAUGGAAUCUUCUAUGGUCCAUCAGAUUGACGGAUUUUAAGGCCACAACAAAUCUUAACUGCCCGCAUUCAUGUAACCUCUAUACAAAAUGUUGUGAUACACUAAAAUUUGAAGGCAAUCACGAUAAUAGGCAAGAUACUCUUCAUUGAAUUCGGCGAUUGUUGACCGUUACGAAAUCUAUUCCAAAUGAUCCUUAGAAACACCCUAUUCUAUGAUCUCUUGAGGGACUAAUCUCUCACUGAAUCUCAUUGUGUUCGAGUUACUUAGUCCUAAACCUUUUAACAAUUUACCAAUUUACUUUUUAACCUUUCAAUUGCGAUAAUUUAGUUCUGAAGUAUUUGGUAAUUUGCUAAGAUAUUCAUUUCUAUGCAUCAUUAUUCUACUGACUUAUACAUCUUCGCUUGAAUAGUUACAUAUUUUCAUACAAGACAAUAUUUUUUCUGAUGUGUUCCACAUGCUUUUUAUAAUUUAUUUAAUAUAGUGCAUUGGAUUUUCAAAUAUGUGACUUAACUAAUGCUCGUGGUAUAAUUAAUAAUUAUGUCAGAAAAACCGAUUUCUUAUUUUCAAAAGUAAAAUAUUCAGAACCCCUUUGAUUUGGUGAUUUUUCCUCGUGGCCUCGCUUUUAAUGUAAUUUUAGCGUUACGUAAAUACCCCCUCUGUCCAAUCAGAUGAUUAGGGAUUUAGGAGGAUACUUGCACAUAUAUUGGGGGAAGGAACUCGUAGAAAAUGACGACAGCAUGCAAGAGAAAAGAAAGUAUUUUAUGUGAUGAUUACAGUAUGAUCGUGAGGAUGUGGUGAAAUCGAAUUUAUAAUUAGUUGCAUGAAUCUUAUCUUAGUUGACGUCAUGCCUAUUGCAUUUUCACUUUUAACUGACUUGUUACACCACUUGUUGUUGCCAUGUAAUGUAAUCGAUGAUGGCGUAAUCAUUGUGUACGAUGGCAUGGGCAGAAGUAAUGAUAAUUUAUUGAAAUUAUUGAAGAUGGAAUUGUGGAAAGUGAAAUAAUGAAAACGAGAUUUGGUUAAAAUUUAACGACUGUACUCGCUAUUGACUUUUUCAAUGAAGAAAAGGAACGUCUGAGAAAAAGACCGUGAGUACUAAUAGAAAAUGACAUCUCGUAGCUGGGGUUAGAAGUACCAUUGCUCUAACAUUAUUGGCCCAGUAUCAUUACCUAUUAGCAAAAUACCAUAUUUUCCUUACAGAUGGUAUUUCUCUAAAAGUAUCCGUUUGAUUGGUGGAAAGAUAAACAUGAUUCGACCAAUUAAACUAUAAGCCCAUAUGGAUCACCAAUUAAACUAUAAGCCCAUAUGGAUCUCUACAUGCAAUUCGCUCACUUUGGCAAGAGUGGACGGAAAGAGAAGGCCUUUGCUCUAUUUGCUUCUUCCUCUUUCUAGAAAUGAACAAUUGCAAAAAUAAUUUUCUUUUAUUAUUUUAUUAAUGAUAAAAUAAUAGAAUAAAGAGAUAGAUAGCCUGAUUUUAUUCCGAUAGAUUGAAAGAGUAGGAAUGGUUAAAGAGGAAAUCUCCUCUUUCUAUUUAUUGAUGAGACAAUUAUUGAUUUCUUGCCUAAUCUAAAUAAUAGAAGUUCCUUUUUAUUUUCAUAAUGUCAGCAAGAGUGUUGAUUCCGUGCAUUAAAAUCAUAGAUCCUGUUGUGACUUCCCUUGACCUUUGGAUUUGUGUCAAUCCUCUUGUUUCAACACUAGUUGGUCAUCUACUAAUUUGAUAAACUGGUGGGAUGAUUUCAAAAUCGAAUUCACUUUGUUGAUGGUGCAAUUGAUUAGCUUAUGAAUUUUGACUAAGUAUAUAGCGUGGUUCCUGAAUUUUAACUCAAUAUGCAAUGUGAUUUUCGCACUUUUAAUUUGUUUAAUAUAAAUUUUGAAUUUUUAGUAAAUAUCCGAUUUAAUCCUUAAAUAUGAGAAAAUAUUUAAUAUUAUACUUUCGUUCAUGUGUUUUAAUUGACCAACCAGGAUCUGGUGGUGCCGGAAAAGUACUGGCGAGGCCCAGUCCGCAGUUUCCAGAUGGACCAACCGGGUUCGCCAUUUCGCUUGAACGGUCGUCCGCCGAAACUCGGAAAGACCGCGAAGGUACGAGAAUGAUCCUCUCUUUCCUAUUUAACUCCCUACUUCCCUGCCCAACCCCUAUCGUUGAACGAUAGCAAUUCUCAUAAUCUACUUCACGCAUUCUAUCGGACACUUUGUCAACUCAGUCUCACGUUUUCAUUGGUAACCCAGCAAGGCAACAACCAUGUCGCUCAUCCCAAGCUGGUUCGGCGGCCGUCGCAGCAACGUUUUCGACCCUUUCUCCCUCGACCCCUGGGACCCCUUCAAGGACUUCCCUUUCCCUUCCUCAUCCCUCUCUGCCUCUAAUUUCCCUCGAACGUUCCGGGGGAACGCCGCCGCCUUCGUGAACACGAGGAUCGACUGGAAGGAGACCCCGGAAGCCCAUGUGUUCAAGACGGAUCUCCCCGGGCUCAAGAAGGAGGAAGUCAAGGUGGAGAUUGAAGACGACCGGGUGCUCCAGAUAAGUGGCAAGAGGAACGUAGAGAAGGAGGACAAGAACGACACGUGGCACCGGGUGGAGAGGAGCAGCGGCAAGUUCAUGAGGAGGUUCAGGCUGCCGGAGAACACGAGGAUGGAUCAGGUGAAGGCAUCGAUGGAGAACGGGGUGCUCACCGUGACUGUUCCCAAGGUGGAGGAGAAGAAGCCUGAGGUCAAGGCCAUUGAGAUCUCCGGUUGA